rnacentral:rRNA from 1 species
UUGAACGCUGGCGGCAUGCCUUACACAUGCCAGUCGCACGGUAACGGGCCUUCGGGUGCCGACGAGUGGCGAACGGGUGAGUAAUACAUCGGAACGUGCCCGAUCGUGGGGGAUAACGAGGCGAAAGCUUUGCUAAUACCGCAUACGAUCUACGGAUGAAAGCAGGGGACCGCAAGGCCUUGCGCGGACGGAGCGGCCGAUGGCAGAUUAGGUAGUUGGUGGGAUAAAAGCUUACCAAGCCGACGAUCUGUAGCUGGUCUGAGAGGAUGAUCAGCCACACUGGGACUGAGACACGGCCCAGACUCCUACGGGAGGCAGCAGUGGGGAAUUUUGGACAAUGGGCGCAAGCCUGAUCCAGCCAUGCCGCGUGCAGGAUGAAGGCCUUCGGGUUGUAAACUGCUUUUGUACGGAACGAAAAGCCUUCUUUUAAUACAGGAGGGUCAUGACGGUACCGUAAGAAUAAGCACCGGCUAACUACGUG